UGCUGAAGAUCAAGCUGGGGCACUAUGCCACGCAGCUGCAGAAUACAUACGACCGGUGCCCCAUGGAGCUAGUGCGCUGCAUCCGGCACAUCCUCUACCACGAGCAGCGGCUGGUACGGGAGGCAAACAAUAGCCCCUCACCAGCCGGCUCCCUGGUGGAUGCCAUGUCCCAGAAGCACCUGCAGAUCAACCAGACCUUCG